AAGUCGUAACAAGGUUUCCGUAGGUGGCACGUUUGCCUGCGCAUAGCCCCCGCAGCGACACUAAACAACUGCGCCAGUCGCCCCUGAUUUGGGGGCCGGCAACGCCAUCACUGUGCGCUGGGAAACCCGCUCCAGGGCUGACCAGCAGCUUUGGGAGGCCUCGCUCGAGGUCCCCCGAGUCCACAGAUCAGACGAUAGCGGCCACUUCGGUGGUUGAGAUAUGACCGGCCUCGGCUGUCACCAGCUAGAGACUUCGCGGAACCUGCGGAAGGAUCAUUACCGAGAAGGGGCCUCGCCGCCCCGGGGGCCUCGGCCUCCAACUCUUUACCCUUUGUCUUCUUACCUUUGUUGCUUUGGCGAGCCUCGGGGGACCCCCCGGCUGGCUUUCGGGCCGGUGAGCGCUCGCCAGAGGCCCAUCCAAUCCUGUUCAAAACAUAGUGUCCGAGUACAAAACGCAAUAAUAAAAACUUUCAACAACGGAUCUCUUGGUUCCAGCAUCGAUGAAGAACGCAGCGAAAUGCGAUAAGUAAUGUGAAUUGCAGAAUUCAGUGAAUCAUCGAAUCUUUGAACGCACAUUGCGCCCCUCGGUAUUCCGGGGGGCAUGCCUGUUCGAGCGUCAUUACACCCCUCAAGCGUAGCUUGGUAUUGGGUCUUCGCCCCCACGGCGUGCCCGAAAAUCAGUGGCGGUCCGGGGUGACUUCAAGCGCAGUAAUCUUUUAUCCCGCUUCGAAAGUCCCUCCGUGGCCUGCCAGACAACCCCUUAUACUUCUAUCAUUGACCUCGGAUC
rnacentral:rRNA from 1 species